UUCCAUCUUUUCUCCUUAACCCAAAUUCCCCUUAAUUCUCAAAACCUAAACCUAAUUCUCAAAACCUAAAUUUAGCAUCUGCCCUCUAACAUCCCCACUCUCUAUGUCUCGCUAUCAAACAUAGCAAUAAGAAUUGAUCAUUCGACUUCAGAGAUUAGAUCUCCGUGACCUACAAUUUCAAUAGUUCGAGAUAUUCGGUCAUGGAGUUGUCUAGCGGUGGUGCUGCUUAAGAGUAAACCCAAGUCCUUAAAAAAUCAAUUUUGCUGGUUUGAAGAAUCGAUAUUGCUGAUUUUAAGAAUCGAUAUUGUUGGUUUGAAGAUGCACAUCAGUUGCUCGAAGAAAUGCUUCUAGCAAUUUUUCUAUUGAUUUUUAAGUUUAUUCGUCAGGAGACUAGUAACUAAUUGUUGUAUCUUGAGUUCUCAUAUCUCUUUAUUUUAGUUAUUUGAAUAUUAGUAGUUUUCUUAUAUGAAGUUUUUAAAAUUGUUUUGACUUAGAGUUAUGUUGCAGUGUUGUAUGAAACCAGUUAUUACUUAUUCGAAUUGGUCAUGGCUUCUGGCUUCACCAUGCCUGUCUGAAGAUAUGUAGCUUUUUGUAGAUGAAAGAUGCCGCUUUCCUCUUGGAUUCAAUAUUUAUCACUAUAAAGGCCCCAUAUUUUAUAAGCUUGAUUUCUCCCUCACGUAUAAUUGGAUAGCUAGGCCCUAUCAUUUUCUUCACCAUGGGCGUUUGAUCCAGCCAUCUAGGUUUGUAUAUGUGGCGGACCAUCCCGUUCGAUAAAAUGGGAUAGGAUAAAGUUUCACAACCGCACAGGGAAGCCAUCAUGAACCACUUAAGGGUUCAAAUCCUCGACUGCAAACUUUCAUAUGAGAGUGCAAACUUUCAGCAGGUUGGAGCGUGUUGGUGGAGCGUGCAGACUGGAAAAGAUGUUGAGAGAUGAUAUUGGUGUUGAAUCGUGAUUGAACUACUUUGAUCACCUGCAUAUUUCAUAUGAGAGUCUGAAAGCACGAGUCAACCAUCAUGAAAGUCCUACUGAUUACAUAGGAAGCAUUGAGGAUAUUAACAACGUUGAGACCGAACGUAACAGCAGCCUUAUGUGAAUGAAGCUGCAAGAUGCAAGCCUUGCAGGGUAAUAUUUAUGAGCAAAGAACCCAAUUUGCGUAGGGCUGUCAUUCCUUGUCAUCAACAUAAGGAAUAAAUUCGUUUCAACUGGUUUUGUUAAAAAGAUUGCGCGAGUAGCCCAAGGGUAGGGUAGAUAUCAUGACAAACUUUGGAGCUAAGUUCUAAGACAGUGAAAUUCUCACCAAAAAGAACGUUUAGACUUAUCGUGUAAACAUUUGGAAUUUGGAAUGUUACUUAUUAAACAAUGUUUUGCUAACAUUUGAAUUAUGUUUCGGAUCGAACUUAUUGUUGAAGUCAUAGUAGUAUGAUUUCCACAUUUACAAUG